GCAGAUCAUUGAAGAGAUCUAGCAAGAUGCCUAUCCAUUUCUAGUCGUCCCAAUACUUCACAUGCCUAUGUUUUUUUUUUUUUUGGAUCAACAUGGAGAACUGGUCAGAGACAAGUUCCAAUAUGGGGGAUAUGUCUUAUAGGUAACUUUCUCAUCUGAAUUACUGAAAUUAGCGAGCAUGGUUGUUUUUAUAGAUGAAUGGACUGCUUCUAUACAUUUAUAGUAGAUGAAACUAUUUAUUGUUUCACAUACCCCUCCGACUUAUUAAAAUUUUGACCGGUAAAUACACAAGUGAUUAAUUAGUCGUUAACUUUCUGCCAACUUGGAAUGAUGGAAUGGUUUGCACCUCUCUUUUCUCUGGUCUUGCUUUUGGAUAGGCAGAUAUCUCUACUAUUAAAAAAAUUAAAGAUGUUAUUGCCGGUACUUUGGUACGUCAUUUGUGUAUGAGUCGGUUUUCAAAUUCGUUAACUUUUGGAAAUACAUAUCCGUAUUUGAGACGUUUAUUAAGUCCGUUUACAUUUGGAAAUACAGAAGAAGAGCCGUAUAAGAAAUCCCUUUAAAAAACUCGAAUGCUAACUUAAGAUGAUCGGACUCUAACUGCAGCUCAUGACUUUAAGCGAAUUCUCAUGGUGAAUUUCACCUUAAUUAAACCGUAUAAUAAUAAUAAGAUUAAAAUAGCCUUCACCCGUCGCAACGCACAUGCAUUUUUUCUAGUCUAUAUAUAUGUCUAAUCCUUUUAGGAAUGGAAAAGAGAUUGAACUAAAAUCCAAACCAAUCCAAGGUGAUCCUUUGAAUCAUAAAUACAGAUUUUUAACCCUUGAAGAUGAAGUGUAGAUUUAUGGCCAGUAACCAGUCAACGACAUUAUUGCUUCAUUCUAUCUCUGACAACAUGGUAACUGUUCAAACAGGAGUUAAUUAAUGAUUUGUUAAUUUACAGAAAAUUAACUCAGUCACAACGUGAAACCAUGACAAUUGGAAAACACAAAUUUAGUAUAUAGCAUGUGUACAAUAGGGCAAAUUCAAAUUAAAUGACAUUUCUCAACUCAAUGAUAUUGGCAAUUCUACUGAAGAGAUGUGUUUCCCAAUAAUUCAGAUAGCUUCCUCUUGAGGGAGCACCAAUGCUAGUGUGCUUGAUGUAGGUGGUUAACUGAUAGCCUCAUCAUUGCUGAUUCGAGGAAUAAGUAAAAUAACAUAUUUGCAAAUGAAAAAUAGUCUAUGAAUAAAACUUUUAUAUACGUGUUCUUAACGAUCUAAAAACAAACGCUGAAAAAUAAACCACAAUAAAAAAAAAUCCCAAAAUCAACUCUAAAUUUAUGAUUGAAAAUUUAAAUUUUGGCUAAUAAGUAUAGGCAUAAGCAAAAACAUGAGGCCGUUUGUCAGUCUUGUUCACAAAAGGGUGUGAUCACUAGCAAAGGCACAUGCUCCGUCAUCGUCAUACGGUCCAUUUUGCUGAUAAAAAUGGAAGACAUGAUUUCCACUGAUUUGAUCUACAGAAAUAGAAAGUAGUACAAAUAUUUGUUGCCAUUAAGCAGAACUUCUCCCACUGUUCAAAUCUGAGAUCAGCAAGAGGGGCAGAGGAGCAGGGGAAUGUGUCCUCUGGUCUACCCAAGAACAGAGCAGGAGCCAGCGUGAGAUUUCCCCUGCACCAGAAAGACCAAUAGAAAAAAAAAAUUCAGCAAAACAACCAAACAAACUUCACAGUCAUGUCGCCAAUUAUUUCUUGGGAGGAAUCGUGUGAUACUCGGAUAGAGCUUUUCCUACUUUCAUAGUGUUAAUAUUUACACUGGAAACUAGAACCAAGUUGAUUCUCCAAUGAUCCAAUUAACGAGAGUUCUAGGGUAAGUUGUGUACAGAUCGAGCAGCUGAACUCAGAUGGCAAAAUAGACGCACCGAAUUACUAGCUAGGUGUGUGCUUCCUGAUUCUAAUUGGUGAUUGCUCUUUCGGCACAAAAAAUGGGAUGGCAACCUGAUUGGGUAUCUAGGCUGUAUGAUCAUACUAGGCUUUCAAGAAACUAACUUGACUAAGACUAAUGAAUUCGUAUAUAUUCAAAGUUUUCUGCUUUUUCUGUCAUCACCAUUGUUUAUUGCAUAAAGUUUCCGUGUGCCUCUGAAUAAGUACAGUGGCAUACCUUAAUUUAGCUAGAAUAGUUCACAGUACACAAAAUUAUUGAUAUUAUAUUCGUGUGCCGUUCCAUAGAAAAUCACUCCUAUGCAAUUGUUGCAUGGGCCAUCAAAAUUUUGUGAUCAAUGCCUUUGGAAUAGACUGCAUAACAGCAUGGGAGAACCUUAACAGCUGCAUUGCCCCCAUGUUAAAAUUGUAGUGUGUACAAGUGUAACUACAAAAUCGUAAUCAUAGUUUAUUUGGAUUCAUAAAGAGAAUCUUCACUACAACAACUGGAAAGAUGAGUACCAGCACAAUUUUACUAGUUUCAGGAGGUGAACUUCAGUAGUAUCCAUCCAUUUCCUCAGUUGAUCAGUGCAUAAUAUUUUUCUUUGAUGGAAAUGAUAUCAUAGUAAACAUCAUCCAUUGUCGGUCGAUCUUUUGGUGAUGUCUCUGUGCACAUUAGCCCAAGCUUGGCCAUUUGUAUGGCGCAUGUUAGUAUUUCAGGCACAACAUGAUUUGGGUCUUCACCUUCACAAUAUUCGGUGAUAGUAGGAUCUAAAAUGUCACUGAUUUGAUCCGGAAAUGCCGACUCCACAAAGUUGUGAAGGUCCAUUCCAUCUUGAAAGAUUUCAUCAGUUGGUUGCUUUCCUGUUAUCAUUUCUAGAACAAUAAUUCCGUAACUGUAUACAUCACCCUCAGCUGAGACCUUGCAUCCCAAGCCAUACUCUACAAUCAAUAUUGUGCAAGUUAAUAAUAUUCAUUAGUCAGUCAAAAUAUGAUACAAUUUUGCAUCACUUCCUUGGUAGAGCUAGUGGAAACAAUAGAUAAAAUACAAAUAACAAUGAAGCAAGUGCUCACCUGGUGCAAUGUAUCCGAUUGAUCCUCUUAAUCCAGUAGUGCUUGAUGAAUUAUUGAGGCUUAUAAAGUUGUUGUGCAGAAACUUUGCAAGUCCAAAAUCACUAAUACAAGCAACCAUUUCGUCAUCCAAAAGAACAUUGCUUGGUUUCAGAUCGCAGUGAACCAAAGGAGGAGUGCAUCGGUUAUGAAGAUAAUCCAAUGCAGUGGCAAUGUCUCCAGCUACUCUUACCCUUGAAGCCAAACUAAACAGUUUUGGGGGGCUUUGACUGCAUGGUUUUGGA
rnacentral:sRNA from 1 species